rnacentral:rRNA from 1 species
GCCAAGUUACCAGAUCCUGCAGCUCCAAAUCCUAUCUGAUUUUGGAAGCUAAGCAGAAUCAGCCCUGGUUAGUGCUUGGACAGGAGACUGCCAGAGAAUCCCAAGUGCUGUAGGCU